CUUAGGAGCCUCCUUCUUUUGCAGGUGUGGGAUGGACGGAAGGCAGGCCUAGCUAGUAGUAUUAAAUGGGAAUGUUCACACAGGGCCUGCAAACUUUGGCCUUCAGUAAAAGUUACUUCUCUUCUUGCUCUGCGAUGUCACCACUUUUCCUCCCUCAGUUACCGAGCAUGCUCUGUUCUUUUUUGAGGGGGCAGGGAGGGGGAUCCUGCAACCUAAAGUCUUUCCCUUAAUCUCUAUAAGGUAUUGUGCUCGCUCCCUCUUCCCUCUCUUCCUGAGAGAGUGGUCUGUUCUCAUGAUUUCCACUCAUCUGUCUCCUCUGUUAACCACUUAUUAUCUGCCUUCAUCUACUGCUGUGCUGCAAAACUUUGCCUGCACGUGAACUGAUAACCUCCCACUUGCAGUGUGCUGCCCUUUUUCUCGGCCACCUUGCCCUGCCCUCCCUUUCUCCCUCUGCUUCAUGGCUGUCAGCUCCCCAGCUUCUCUUUCCGCCUGGCCGCCAUCUCCUCUCAGCCAUCCUUCCUUUGGUAGCUUCUCUCUCUCCUUUCCCUUUCCCCAUGUCAGUUUCACCCCAGGUGAGAGGCCUGCAGGACUCACUGGGGACCUAUGUCAAAGUCCCCAGGGCCUACUUCAAACCUUGAGACUCCUCCGGGGUGGGUUGUGUGUUUUCACACAGCAACCCCAAUGCUUUUCUUAGUCCUGCCAGUAGUUACGUUUCAACGAGGUGGUAGGGUAUUCUUGUUCUCUAGACCAGCGUUUCUC
rnacentral:lncRNA from 1 species